rnacentral:lncRNA from 1 species
UUCGGUUAAACGUAGUAAUGGGUUCGCCCGAAAUGAUAUCCCAGGGUUAUGUAGAGAAAACACCCUUGAUAGUGCUUAGCACUAGCCCAAGACCGUAAUACCCCGAAAACCCGAAAGAACCAAGAGAAUUUCUAAGUACGAAGAAUAAUAUGGAAAAACUCUCAAAAGAUUUAAAGAACUUUGAGUAGAACACUCUUUCCUUAAGAAAAACUUUCUUAUUAUUACACUUGUUCAACUUCUUGUGUUAUUACAAAUGAAAGGAUGAAAAAGUAUUUAUAGCCUUCUAAACUAUCUUACAAAUAUCUAGAUUAUUCUACUAUAACCUCCCUACCUCCUAGAUUUUUUUCUCUUAUUCUCUAGAUUUUUCUACUACAAUAUCUAGAUUUUUUCUUCUUGAGAAGGUGAUGAUAAUUCUAGAAAGAUUCUAGAAUUUGAGCUUAAUUUUCGGUUUAGUUCAAUAAGAGUUUAUUGCCCCAUAAUUAAGCAUGACCCAAAAUCAAGUUUAACUUCAAUACUCCCCCUUAAACUUGAUUUUAUCCACCAUUCCGAGCUUGGAGCGGAGUAUCUCGAACUAACCUUUAGGUAAUGACUUGGUGAAGAUAUCAGCAAUGUUGUCCUCGCUUCGAACCUCCAAUGCUUCAAUUGUUCCAUCAAGCACCUUCUCUCUUAUGAAAUGAUGUUCCAAUUCAAUGUGCUUCGUCCUUCCAUGGAACACUGGAUUAUUGGCCAGCUUGAUGGCACUUUGAUUAUCUCCGUAGAUGGUAACCGAUUUAUUUAUUGGCUCAAACAAGUCUUCAAGGAGUCUUCGAAGCCAUAUACAUUCUUGGGCUGCGAGUGUUGAAGCUUUAUACUCUGCUUCGGUAGUGGACAAGGACACCGUUGCUUGUUUCUUGCUGCACCAUGAAAUGCUUGUGUCUCCACAUAAGAACACAAAACCCGAAGUUGAUUUUUGAUCAUCUAAAUCUCCACCAAAGUCAGCAUCUGUGAAACCAUGAAGAGAAACCUUGGCAUUAUACUUGUACAUCAGUCCCAUGCCAAGUGUUGUCUUCACAUACUUCAAUAUCUUCUUUGCUGCUUCUAGAUGUGGCUUCCUUGGUUCCUGCAUAAACCGGCUUACAAGACCAACCGCAAAGGCAAUAUCUGGUCUUGUAAUGGUUAAGUAUAAAAGACUUCCAACAAGAGAGCGAUAAGGUCGAGGAUUGGCUAACAAGGAUCCUUCAUCGCGUUUGAGCCUUAUGUUAGUAUCCAGUGGAGUAGAACGUACCUUUCCUUGGUGUACUCCAAACCUGUCAACAAUCCUUUUUGCAUAACCUUGUUGGCCGAUGAAUAUUCCAUCCUUUACCCUCUCGACCUCUAGACCAAGAAAGUGAUUCAGCUCGCCUAACUUCUUCAUCUCAAACCUCACCGACAUAUCCUCUUGUAGACGAGCAAUUUCAGCAUCGUCAUUUCCAGUAAUGAUCAUAUCAUCCACGUAGAGGAGAACUACUACAUGAACUCUUCCACUUCUCUUGAAGAAUAGACUUGGAUCAGCACUUGAUGCCAUAUACCCGCAAAACUGAAGAAAUUGAGCAAGCUUUCCAUACCAAUCUCGUGGAGCUUGUUUUAAUCCAUACAAGGCUUUCUUUAGCUUGCACACAUGGUUAGGAUACUCUUAUGACUCAAAACCAGGUGGUUGCUCCAUAAAAAUUUCCUUAUCAAGCUCACCAUAGAGAAAACCAUUCUUCACAUCUAACUGCCAUAAUUUCCAUAUAAGGCUUGCAGCUAGUGAUAAGAGUGAGCGUACCGUAGUCAUCUUUGCUACUGGACUAAAGGUCUCAUCAUAAUCUUCUCCGUACUUCUGAGAAAAUCCUCGAGCAACCAACCUUGCUUUGUAUCUAUCAAUGCUCCCAUCCGCCUUUCUCUUUAGUCGAUAUACCCAUUUACAAGAAACAUGUUGAGCAUCCUUUGGUUUCGGAACCAAAUCCCAUGUUUCAUUUUUCAUGAGAGCAUCAAUCUCCUCCUUCAUUGCGGUUACCCACUCCUCAACUCCUUUUGCUUCUUCAUAAGAUGAUGGCUCUUCUUCAUCCAGAGGAACUGCAAAGUAACGAGAGUAAGUGGUGACGAACCUUUCAUCUCUAAACCGAGCGGGUUUGACAAUGUUCCUUUUUGGUCGUUGAUUGGCGACAUAACCAUGAUCAUGCUCCUCUUCUUCAUCUUGGUCAAAGCUCCCCCUUUCACCUUGAGUCUCCAUUUCAAAGAUUUCAUUAUUACUUGGAACUUGAAUAAUUUGUUCAUCAGUCUUGGAGGAACCUGAACCAUCUAGCUCAUCUAAGACUUGAUGUGGUCCAUAGUAGGAUGAAACUUCGUCAAAGACAACAUCACAAGACACUGUGUAUUUAUGUGUCUCUGGAUCCAUACACCUCCAUCCCUUCCGUUGUUCAUCAUAACCGACAAAGAUACACUUCCUUGCCUUUGCUUCCAACUUUGUUCUUUGAGAGUCGAACACAUGGACGUAACAGACUGAUCCAAAUAUUCUGAGAUGCUUCACCGUUGGCUUCUUCCCGUGAAUCAUCUCGUAAGGCGACUUCAUGUUAUUUGGACUGAGUGGCAUCCGGUUGAUGACAUAAGCUGCACAUCUCAUGCCUUCUGCCCAUAAGGCCUUACGCAAAUUCUUGUCAUGUAGCCAGCUUCUGCACGUCUCGGUUAGAUGUCUAAUCUUUCUUUCUGCUACUCCAUUUUGUUGAGGUGUAUACGGGCAUGUAUAUUCUCUCUUAAUACCAUUCUUUUGGCAAAAAGAGAGGAACUCCUUUGACAUAAAUUCUCCUCCAUUAUCCGUCCUUAGAGUCUUUAGUUUUCGACCAAUCUCUCCUUCCACGGUAACCUUGAAUUCUUGAAAUCUUUGAAAUACUUCUGAUUUUUCCUUCACAAAGUAUACCCAAGUGUACCGUGAGAAAUCAUCUACGAACAGCAACAUGUAGCGAAACCCGGAAUAGGAGGAUGUUCUUGUUGGACCCAUCAAAUCACUAUGGACCUUCUCCAAUGGACCGUUGCACCUUGAGGUUGAAUGAUCAAAUGGAAGUCUAUGUGACUUUCCAUAUUGACAACCUUCACAAAUUUUUCCUCCAUCUUGAAUCUUCAAUUUUGGAAGCCCAUGAACCAAAUCUUUAUUCACCAUGACCUUAAGCUUGGUCAUAUUUAUAUGGCCAAGUCUAGCAUGCCAGAUGGAAGCAUUGUCAUUCGUACUCAUCUUCUCCACAUAGGCGUGUGAGGCCGAUAAAACAUAUAAAUCUUUGACGCGUGCUCCAGUGUGAACAACAUCCGCCUUUAAUUCUUUAAUAUUCCUUAAGAACUUAACGUCUCUUGGGCCAAAUAGAACAUAAUUACCUGAGUCGACCGCAUUCACCACCGAAAGAAGAUUCUUCUUUACUCCAGGGACAUGGUACACAUUCUUGAGGGUGAUCGGUUCUUCAUCAUCUCCUUUAAUGACAACAGUCCCUUCUUUCUCAACUCGAUGGAUUGAAUUAUCAGCGGUAAUAAUAGCUUCUUUCCCGUCAUGACGUUGAAGACUAGAAAAUAACUUCUCAUCUCCGGUAAUAUGAUGGCUACAACCCGAGUCUACAAUCCAAUCAUUUCUCAAGUUCUUAGUUGUGGGUGUACCUGGAUGUGUAGCCUCCACCGUGAAACAUUUCCCCCAUUCUUCGUCUUCCGUAUUACUUUUUGACUCCACCAUAUUUGUUUCCUUCAACUUGACUCGACAAUCCCUUUUGAAAUGCCCAAGCUUUCCACACCGGUAGCACUUGAACUUUUUCUUAUCCAUAGAAGAUCUUUCACUUCCAUCAUUGUAUCUUGAACCUUCAUCUUUGUUUUUCGCCUUGAAGCUUUGUUGUCUCCGAGCUACAAAGGCGCUUCCCGAGUCAUCAUUGAUUUUGACUCAUGACAUUUGCAUGGCUAAUGACUCUUGCGAAGCUAGCAAAUUUUCAAACUCUUCCAAGGAAGGUUGUGUAGCCCAUCCUUAAACCGAAGUCACAAACAGUGUAUACUCAGGCCGUAGACCUCGAAUGAUAGACCGCUUCAACCGUGCUUCAGAAAUUGACUCCUCCAGAUUUAGAGUAUUUAUCUCAGAGCAUAGGUUCUUUACCUUGAUAAAAAAACUCCGAGAUUGAAGACUCCCCCUGCUUCGCAUUCGCAAGCUCAUUUUCCAAUAAUUGUAGCUUGGCCUCAUUCUUCUUGUUGAACAAUUGAUCUAAAGCUUGCCAAAUGGAACUAGCGGAAGUACACCUUGAGACAUGCUCAAAUAUGCUUGAAGAUAUGAACCUCUUCAAAGCAAACUCCGCCUUGGCAUUCUUUCGUGUCCACUCCUUUGUCGCUUCCGGGGUUGCAGCAUUUUCCCUUGGUGGUGUUGUGUUGUUACCACUGACGACGUCCCAUAAGUCCUCACUCACCAGGUAUGACUCCAUGCAUGACUUCCAUAACCGGUAGUUAGAUUGGUUUAGGAUUUCCAUUCCUAAUCCAACAACACGACCUGUUGAUUCCAUACUUAGAAUAGACCCGAGCUCUCUUUAAAAACCGAUCUUGAUGAGCACAAGAUUACCUUGGCUCUGAUACCAUGUAGAGAAAACACCCUUGAUUGUGCUUAGCACUAGCCCAAGACCGUAAUACCCGAGAACCCGAAAGAACCAAGAGAGUUUCUAAGUAUGAAGAAUAAUAUGGAAGAACUCUCAAAAGAUUUAGAGAACUUUGAGUAGAUUACUCUUUUCUUAAGAAAAACUUUCUUAUUAUUACACUUGUUCAACUUCUUGUGUUAUUACAAAUGAAAGGAUGAAGAGGUAUUUAUAGCCUUCUAAGCUAUCUUACAAAUAUCUAGAUUAUUCUACUAUAACCUCUUUACUUCCUAGAUUUUUUUCUCUUAUUCUCUAGAUUUUUCUACUACAAUAUCUAGAUUUUUUUCUUCUUGAGGAGGUGAUGAUAAUUCUAGAAAGAUUCUAGAAUUUGAGCUUAAUUUUGGGUUUAGUCCAAUAAGAGUUUAUUGUCCCAUAAUUAAGCAUGACCCAAAAUCAAGUUUAACUUCAAUAGGUUCUCCGUUUGCCACACGAUCGAUGUAAGGCUUAACAUCUUCAUAGCACACCACUGGUACGUUCUUCUUGAACAGCUCUUUGUCGGAGCUCCCCUCGAGAAAACGGCUGAGGUACUCUGUGUUUGCGUUAGAUUUAAGUAUCUUGGUCAAUACAUCAUCUUGUAUUUGCUUCGCAUUUGACGUUAGCUCUUCCAGAAUAGAGAGAUCACAGCCUUGACUCAUAUUUGUUCUUU